rnacentral:rRNA from 1 species
UGAGGAAUAUUGGUCAAUGGGCGAGAGCCUGAACCAGCCAAGUAGCGUGCAGGAUGACGGCCCUAUGGGUUGUAAACUGCUUUUAUAUGGGAAUAAAGUGAGGGACGUGUCCCUUAUUGCAUGUACCAUACGAAUAAGGACCGGCUAAUUCCGUGCCAGCAGCCGCGGUAAUACGGAAGGUCCAGGCGUUAUCCGGAUUUAUUGGGUUUAAAGGGAGCGUAGGCUGUUUGUUAAGCGUGUUGUGAAAUGUAAGAGCUCAACUUUUAGAUUGCAGCGCGGACUGGCAGACUUGAGUGCGCACAACGUAGGCGGAAUUCAUGGUGUAGCGGUGAAAUGCUUAGAUAUCAUGACGAACUCCGAUUGCGAAGGCAGCUUACGGGAGCGCAACUGACGCUAAAGCUCGAAGGUGCGGGUAUCGAACAGG